CAGCUCACUUUAGACGUUCAGCAGUUUACUGAAGCUCCAAGCAGCUGAACAAUCAUUUUACUGCAACACAAACUCACUGAGACAACAACACUGCAACUCCUUCUGUGAAGCCGUAAACAUCUUUCUCUCUUCUGCAGACGUUAAACCCUGGACAAUGAACCGUGAAGGAGCAGCGUCACACUCCAGCUCUGACCGCUGAAAGUGAAGAGAGAGAACGGUUUAAGAAGAGUUCUGGGUCACCUGAUGAUCAUCCAGGAGCAGAUCAGAGGAACGUCCAGAAGACCAGUGGAUUCUCGAAAUCAGGAGUGUCCUCUUUUCUCAACUUUGAGGACUUGUCCAACAUGGUGCUCGACUGUCGAUGAAGGAACCACAUCAUCGUCAUCAGCAUCAUCAUCAUCAUCAUGGGUUCAACAUCAGUGGGUCGGAUUCCAAACACGAGGUAUCACAACACCGUUAGAAGCAAGUUGAUAUCGAUUGAUUCCUGACAUCCACAAAAAGUUACAACAUUCUGAUUUGUUUUGAAGCGUCACACUAAAGUCUGUCAUUGGUGGAACCUGGAGGAUAGAACUCAGCGUUAUUAGCACCUCUACAACCACCUGGCAGGUUCCCACAACAUUAGAUAACAUCAUCUACAAGUUCUAAUGUUUUAAAGAAAAUGUCCUCAUCCAGGUGAGGUUGGUAGCAAUGCAGAUUAUGUUCCACGAUAACAAAAGAAGAAAUCUUUUUAAACCAACAUUUAAAAAACGCUUUCCAGAUUUAUUGAGACUCUAAAUAAAUGAACAUUACAGAAUGUUCCUAUAAUCUGAUAUGUUAAAGGGAGAACGUUUGGUCUUGUUGUGGAGGAAACACAUGAUACAAUGUUCUUCUAUUAAACAUUCACACAGUGUUCCAUCAUAACAAAGGAUGUUCUCAAACCAACAUUUGGAAACCAUUUUUAAGAUGUUUUAAGGCCUCAGAUGACAGAAAGUUCUUCAUGAGACGUUCUACUACUGCAAUGUAUUCACAAAGGUGGAACAUUCUGCCUGGUAUGUUCUGAGGAUGUUCUUGAGAGAACACGUUAUAGAAUCUAUCAAACGAUCCCACAGUGUUCCACAAUUUUCAAUGAUAAGAAAGAAAGAGAAUAAUUGUUAAGGCAUUACGGUCUAACGAUGUUAUGUUAGAACAUCUUCACUUCUACUGAGUUUAAGUAGAACAUUCUGAGAACUAAAAGAAAACUUCCUGCUGGAAACAAUAGUAGAACUUCACAGAACCUUCUCAGAUAAACCUAAAUAGUUGUCAGCAGCAUUCUCCAGAUUUAGAGCCAAUAAUGGAUGUUGUUCUGAGUGGUUCUACAUGUAAGGUUGGAUUCUAUGGAGUUAAACUCAUAGACGGAGUUGGUGGAUUCUGCAAAAUGUUGAUUUCUGCAGAGCAAGAAGAGCGUCUAAUCAUCCAACUUCAUUUAAUCCCUCAAAGAAACCAGAAACAGAGCAUGAUUUGGAUUUAAAGGUGACAUUCCAUCAGAACCAUAACAGGAUUCAAUCCUUCCAUCCUGUUGAUGUUAAACGCAUGAGGUUUAACCAGGUGGUCAUAGGUGAUUUAAAGUUGGUGUUUCUGGUUCAGUCCAUCCUGGGCUCGGGUUCAUUUCAGGACAAAACUAAACCUUCUUUUUGGGAGUCAGCGAUCUUCCAAAACCAGUCAAAGUACGAGUAUUACUUUAAUAGUUUCUAAUAAACACUCAGCUGGUUAACGUCCAGGUGAAGUCCAGAUGUUGGACCUUUUACAAACUAUUAUAAUUUUUACCUGAAUUCAUUAAAACCUUCUGAAUUAAUUCACCUUGAAAGUCGUAGAUGAUAAUCAGAGAGGAAGUAAAUCCACUUUACAUGAACAUCAGUCUCUGGAGAUCUUCUGUUUUUCUUCAGCUGCUCUGUAAACUCUCCUCUAGAUGUUCUAAAGUAGUAAAUCUCCAGUAAAUCAUAAAGGAGUCCUGCUCUCCACUUCAUAAAUCAAAGGACGCUGCGAUUGAUUAGAGUACAUAAGAAGACUGAAUAACAGGAGAUUAAAUCGACAGAAUGUUUACCUGCCCUCUGGUGACAGAUUUAACACUGAUGGCUUCACAACACCUGGAUCUGAGGAGGUGUUUGAACUCAUGGUAUGAAUAACUUUGUUCUCUCCUCUGGGUUCUUCUGUGGAACCAAAUCUACACCUUUAAAGACAUUUAGCUGCUGAUUUAAUACAGUUUCAGUCUCUUGGUUUAGUACUUAUUAGAGGAAAAGAUAAAUAUGUUUUGAUCAGUGAAUCUCACUCCAUUUAUUGAUUAAUUACCGUCCACAAUCAAAAAGACUUGAAUUAAAAUCCCAUCCUGCGCCGUUAUCAUGUUUUUUUUUAGUUUCAAUUUCAUUUGUUGUUUACUUUCAGCACAUUUUGGGUUAAGUUUAGGCAUCAAAACUAUUAUUAUUGAAUUUAUUAAUUUAUUUUCAAUAAUUUACUGUAAUUUUCCAGAUUCUGC